rnacentral:tRNA from 1 species
GCGCCGCUAGCUCAGUUGGUAGAGCACCUGACUCUUAAUCAGGGUGUCCAGGGUUCGAACCCCUGGCGGCGCACUA